rnacentral:rRNA from 1 species
UACGUAGGGUCCAAGCGUUAUCCGGAAUCACUGGGCGUAAAGCGUGCGUAGGUGGAUGUUUAAGUGAGAUGUUAAAUCGUGUGGCUCAACCAUAUCGGUGCAUCUCAUACUGGGCAUCUAGAGGACGGCAGAGGCAAGUGGAAUUGGUAGUGUAGCAGUGAAAUGCGUAGAUAUUACCAGGAACACCAGUGGCGAAGGCGGCUCACUGGCCCGUUACCGACGCUCAGGCGCGACAGCGUGGGGAGCAAACAGG